GUGGGGAAUAUUGGACAAUGGGCGAAAGCCUGAUCCAGCCAUGCCGCGUGUGUGAAGAAGGUUUUCGGAUUGUAAACUUCUGUCCUCAGGGAAGAAGGACGUGACGGUACCUGAGGAGGAAGCCCCGGCUAACUACGUGCCAGCAGCCGCGGUAAUACGUAGGGGGCGAGCGUUGUCCGGAAUGACUGGGCGUAAAGGGCGCGUAGACGGCUGUCUAAGUCUGGAGUGAAAGUCCUGUUUUCAAGGUGGGAAUUGCUUUGGAGACUGGAUGGCUUGAGUGCGGAAGAGGUAAGUGGAAUUCCCAGUGUAGCGGUGAAAUGCGUAGAGAUUGGGAGGAACACCAGUGGCGAAGGCGACUUACUGGGCCGUAACUGACGUUGAAGCGCGAAAGCGUGGGGAGCGAACAGGAUUAGAUACCCUAGUAGUCC
rnacentral:rRNA from 1 species